UUUUGAAUGGUGUGGAAUCCAGCAAGGCUCCACCAACCCCUGAGCUAGGGGAGGUCCUUUCCCUAUAAAUUCAGAAGGGCUGUGCUCUCCCUUCAAAAAAAAAACAAAGAGAAGCUCCUCACUCUCCAAAGUACUCUCAGCAAAGAGGACAGGGAGGAAGAAAGAUACGGGAGGGAGAAUGUCCUGCUCCUUUCUCUGCCUCUUCUUCAAGUUCUCUGGGAGGUCGCGCUACAGGGAUGACGAUGUUGAUUGGGAGCCAAGGUACACGAGGAAGAUACGUCUCAGCGACGAGGACCGGGGGCGGUGGGUUGGUGAGCGGGAUGUAGACAAGAAAGCUUCAGAUUUCAUUGCUAGAUUUCAUCAAUCCCGUGCUCUUGUAGCUUGAAAUUUCUAGUACAUUUGUUUUGCUUUCAUCAUUGAAUAGUUGGUUAGCUUGGUGUGGACCAUGUACUUCGUUCCAGAUGACAGACUACCAUGAGAGGAAUAACAUGACAUUCGUUUGUAGUAUAUUUUCGUUCUCGUAUAUUUGGCUUUCAGAUCUCCACAAGACUAGCCUGGAAGUGAAACAAAUACCAUGCUGAGAUCCUGAUUUACUUGAAUACAAUGGUUACCGUUAUGUAUGUGAUGCUUACUGCCAUGAUCUCCUUCAAAGUGGGCUUCAUAUAGAUGCCUUGUUGUUUGUGUGGCAUCAGGCUCGGUCAACUUUGGUUGCCCUUCUGCAUCUAGGGUCAAGGCAGCACUUUUUUUUAUUACUUCUUUGUAAUAAAUUAAUGCGAGUAUUUCUUCAACAUGACAUCAUAGAAGAGCAUAAUUUUCUCGAGCAA
rnacentral:lncRNA from 1 species